rnacentral:rRNA from 1 species
CCCUUAGAUGUCCGGGGCCGCACGCGCGCUACACUGAAGGAAUCAGCGUGGCUUUCUCCCUGACCCGCCAGGGUUGGGAAACCCGUUGAAUCUCCUUCGUGAUAGGGAUUGGGGCUUGAAAUUGUUCCCCAUGAACGAGGAAUUCCCAGUAAGCGCGAGUCAUAAGCUCGCGUUGAUUACGUCCCUGCCCUUUGUACACACCGCCCGUCGCUACUACCGAUUGAACGGUUUAGUGAGGGCCUCGGAUUGGUCUCGGCCCGCUCUUUACCGGGCGGCGCCGUUGGUCGAGAAGACGCUCGAACUUGAUCGUUUAGAGGAAGUAAAAGUCGUAACA